rnacentral:rRNA from 1 species
AGUGAACGCUGGCGGUAGGCCUAACACAUGCAAGUCGAACGGCCGCACAGUAAGAGCUUGCUCUUACGGGUGGCGAGUGGCGGACGGGUGAGGAAUACAUCGGAAUCUACUUUUUCGUGGGGGAUAACGUAGGGAUACUUACGCUAAUACCGCAUACCACCUACGGGUGAAAGCAGGGGAUCUUCGGUCCUUGCUCGAUUGAAUGCGCCGAUGUCGGAUUAGCUAGUUGGCGGGGUAAAGGCCGACCAAGGCGACGAUCCGUAGCUGGUCGGAGAGGAUGAUCAGCCACACUGGAACUGAGACACGGUCCAGACUCCUACGGGAGGCAGCAGUGGGGAAUAUUGGACAAUGGGGGCAAGCCUGAUCCAGCCAUACCGCGUGGGUGAAGAAGGCCUUCGGGUUGUAAAGCCCUUUUGUUGGGAAAGAAAAGCAGCAGGUUAAUACCCCGCUGUUCUGACGGUACCCAAAGAAUAAGCACCGGCUAACUUCGUG